GUAUGUAUAUGAGAGAAUAUUGACAGUUUGGUGCUGUCUCUUCUGCCACAAACAUCCUGGCUGGCCACAUUCACACUCCAUCACCUCAGUUCCUCUCUAGGUUUUCUUCCAGGCUGUCCCACCCCAUAAGAUUUGGAUGGAGGAGGGACUGCUGGAACCCCACGUCCAUCACCACUGGACCCCCAGGCACAGACAGAGAUCUCCACACUCAGGAAGGAGGACAGAGCCACUCACUCAGACUCCGUCAGGAUGGGAAUAAAGACCUUGUCUGUCUCCAGUCCUUCUCUCCUACAGUAGGUCUAUUAUUUGUGCUUUUAAAGGAGGUCUAUUUGCUUUCAAUUCAACUGCAGCCCGACCAAAAUAAUGAUCACUCUGAUUCUGGCAGGAAGAUUGUUGACCAAACUAUUUUAAGAGCUUAUUUUCCUGCAGAAGUCUCUGAGGGAGCAUCUAAGCACUUAAUGGCCACGGUCACUUCUUAGAAACCCACUGAGGGCACCGCUGUGUCUCCAUGCUGGCAGACAUCCCCAUCAUUCCACCUAUGCCAGAAGGACUUGGGUAAGAAGAAAAGAAUUCUCACCUUCUUGAGUUUAUUUUUUUACCUGUAUAUAUAGCUGAGCUUUCCGUGCAGGGGAUGUAUAAUUUGAGCAGAACACAGUACGCUGGAUUUUGCCUUCAGCUACACUCUCUGAAGCCAAGAUUUGCUCCAAGCUAGAGAGGGAGUGCCAAGCUACCAGCACACCACAGCUAUGAGCAAGAAAUCUUGAGGUUGGAGCAUUUCCCACUGGCAGAGAUCCACCAGUUUCCACUGAAUUACGUAGGAGAGAGCUUAGGAAGAGCUCCUAAGAUCUUCCCAAAGAUGCUCAGUGCUUCCCCAGGAGCAGCUCUGGGAGGAUGCUGAAGCAGGAUACGUGUCCCAGCACCCUGUGGACUCCGUGCUUAGCAGCAUAAGGAGCCAGACAGCCUGCCUGAAUUCCCUCUGCUAAGGCGAUGCAGGAACUCCUCUGACACCUCACUACCUCCCUAAAUACAGGCUUUUAAUAAAGAGCCAAUUUAAUUUCCCAAA